rnacentral:rRNA from 1 species
AACGAACGCUGGCGGCAUGCCUAACACAUGCAAGUCGAACGAGACCUUCGGGUCUAGUGGCGCACGGGUGCGUAACGGGUGGGAACCUGCCCUUAGGUUCGGAAUAACUACCCGAAAGGGGGGAUAAUACCGGAUAAUGUCUUGGGACCAAAGAUUUAUCGCCUUUGGAUGGGCCCGCGUUGGAUUAGCUAGUUGGUAGGGUAAAAGCCUACCAAGGCGACGAUCCAUAGCUGGUCUGAGAGGAUGAUCAGCCACACUGGGACUGAGACACGGCCCAGACUCCUACGGGAGGCAGCAGUGGGGAAUAUUGGACAAUGGGCGAAAGCCUGAUCCAGCAAUGCCGCGUGAGUGAUGAAGGCCUUAGGGUUGUAAAGCUCUUUUACCCGGGAUGAUAAUGACAGUACCGGGAGAAUAAGCUCCGGCUAACUCCGUG